GUCGUAACAAGGUUUCCGUAGGUGAACCUGCGGAAGGAUCAUUAAUGAUAGCUGAGUUCAGUUUGCGCCGNGUAGCUUUGCCUUGCUGGUAGAGGAUCUUCCUCCCGAAUAAGCCUGGUGACCUCCGGNUAAACUNUCUCACAUUCAAACCCUUGACUACAUUACCAUUGUUGCUAUUGGCGGGCCGCCCUUCGGGGCGGGGGGCUCCGGCUCACCGCGCCCGCCAGAGGACCAAAAUCCUUGUGGCUUGGGGAUGCCUGAGUACAAUAUAAAAGUUAAAACUUGUCAACAACGGAUCUCUUGGUUUCUGGAAUCGAUGAAGAACGCAGCGAAAAUGCGAUAGGUAUUGUGAAAUUGCAGAAUUCAGGUGAAUCAUCGAAUCUUUGAACCCACAUUGCGCCUUCCUGGUAUUCCGGGAAGGAUGGCCUGUUCNAAGCGUCAAUUAUGACCACUCACGGCUCCGGGUGGUUUUGGGGGCUCGCUGUACCGGNGGCCCUUAAAAGCAGUGGGGNGCCCNCCGGGUUCUACCGCGUAGUAAUUUUUCUCGCGAUUGGGCUUGCGGUUGCUUGCAACACCCCCAACUUUUUAAGGUUGACCUCGGAUCAGGUAGGGAUACCCGCUGAACUUAAGCAUAUCAAUAAGCGGAGGAAAAGAAACCAACAGGGAUUCCCUCAGUAACGGCGAGUGAAGCGGUAACAGCUCAAAUUUGAAAUCUGGCAGCAAUGCCCGAGUUGUAAUUUGUAGAAGAUGCUUCGAGUGUGGCCCCGGUCUAAGUUCCUGGAACAGGACGUCAUAGAGGGUGAGAAUCCCGUACGUGACUGGGUGCUUUCGCUCAUGUGAAGCUCUUUCGACGAGUCGAGUUGUUUGGGAAUGCAGCUCAAAAUGGGUGGUAAAUUUCAUCUAAAGCUAAAUAUUGGCCAGAGACCGAUAGCGCACAAGUAGAGUGAUCGAAAGAUGAAAAGCACUUUGGAAAGAGAGUUAAACAGUACGUGAAAUUGUUGAAAGGGAAGCGCUUGCACCCAGACUUGGGCGCGGUCGAUCAUCCGAGGUUUUCCCCGGUGCACUCGACCGCGUACAGGCCAGCAUCGGUUUCGGUGGUUGGAUAAAGGCCUUGGGAAUGUGGCUCCUCUCGGGGAGUGUUAUAGCCCUCGGUGCAAUGCACCCUGCCGGGACCGAGGACCGCGCUUCGGCUAGGAUGCUGGCGUAAUGGUUGUAAGCGACC
rnacentral:rRNA from 1 species